AACGCAUAUUGCGCUCUUUGGUAUUCCGAAGAGCAUGCUUGUUUGAGUAUCAGUAAACACCUCAACCUCCUUCCUCUUUGUGAUGGAAAGGGUUGGAUUUGAGCAAACCCAACAAACACGCACAUUUCCUUGUGAGAUUGGCGGGUUGCUUAAAAUGCAGGUGCAGCUGUAACAAGAACAGACUGAGCUAAAAGCAUAUAUAAUUUAGUCCGCCUCGGUGGAUUAUCACCAUUUGCUGCAGCUACUCUAAGGUCGUCUUGUCCGAGCUGACUGAUGCAGGGAAUUGUCAGGAUAGGUCAUUAACAAGGCCUGUUCUUUCAACACUCGAUCUCAAAUCAAGUAAGACUACCCGCUGAACUUAA
rnacentral:misc_RNA from 1 species